CGCGUAAAGAACUUGCCCUCUAGACUGGGACAACUGUUGGAAACGACAGCUAAUACCGGAUAUUAUGAGAACCUCGCAUGGGGAACUUAUGAAAGGCUAUAUGCGCUAGAGGAGAGCUUUGCGUGCCAUUAGGUAGUUGGUAGGGUAAUGGCCUACCAAGCCGACGAUGGCUAGCCGGCCUGAGAGGGUGAUCGGCCACAAGGGGACUGAGACACGGCCCAGACUCCUACGGGAGGCAGCAGUGGGGAAUCUUAGACAAUGGGCGAAAGCCUGAUCUAGCCAUGCCGCGUGAGUGAUGAA
rnacentral:rRNA from 1 species